UGUUCUGCAGCGGAGUUGGUUAACACACCCUGUCUAGCAAACUUGAGGAGACGUGGGUUCAAAUCCCACCAGAACGA
rnacentral:tRNA from 1 species